rnacentral:sRNA from 1 species
AGUUAUCAGCCACGAGGAAACAAGCGCAGCGCAAACGAGGAACAUGAUCACAGCGGUGGUUUUCGCCGCCUGGAGGAUGACACCCGGCAGGUCACGCGGCUUGAGUUCCCGAUAGAUGACCAUGCCGACGAAGAGUGCAUAGACUGCGGCGACCACGGCGGCUUCGGUCGGCGUCACGACACCGGCCUUGA